rnacentral:lncRNA from 1 species
CCGAUCUCAGAAAUCGAAGAGGCACCUACUUUUCCAGCCUUGUCAGCACCUGUCAUACGCACACUCAGCUUUGCGGAAAUUAUGGGCAUUCUGUCAAAGACUUCUGGUGAAGUAGAAAGCACAUGAAUCUUACUGUUCAAUCACCCACUUCCCACACGCAACAGUAGCUCAUGGGUACCACAGAUAACUUUGCCAAAGUUCUCUGCCAAAGUUGAGCACGUGAAGCUUGCAGCUCCCACUACAUCACUCUGACCAAGAAGGGUAAAAAAAAAUAGCAAAGAAACAGCACUAACAAAGUCUAGACACAUAAAUUUUGAAAGUCUAGCUACCAUAUUAUUACCCAUAAGGGUAAAGGAACAGUACCACUGCUGGAUAAUUGGAAAGUCCCUGUGUGUCAACCUCUGUGCUUCAUGGCAAGGUAGACUAGCAAACAUGCCCAACCUUUACUCUCAGAGACCACGAGGGUUGAUCUCAGAAAUCGAAGAGGCGUUUGCUUUCUCAAAAGCUGGGCUGCUCAAAGACCACGAAGGCCGAUCUCAGAAAUCGAAGAGGCGCUUGCUUUCUCAAAAGCUGGGCUGGUCAGAGACCAUGAGGGCCGAUCUCAGAAAUCGAAGAGGCACCUACUUUUCCAGCCUUGUCAGCACCUGUCAUACGCACACUCAGCUUUGCGGAAAUUAUGGGCAUUCUGUCGAAGACUUUUGGUGAAGUAGAAAGCACAUGAAUCUUACUGUUCAAUCACCCACUUCCCACACGCAACAGUAGCUCAUGGGUACCACAGAUAACUUUACCAAAGGUCUCUACCAAAGUUGAGCACGUGAAGCUUGCAGCUUCAACUACAUCGCUCUGACUAAGAAGGGUAAAAGAAUAGCAAAGAAACAACACUAAAAAAAGUUUAGACACAUAAAUUUUGAAGGUCUAGCUACCAUAUUAUUACCCACAAGGGUAAAGGAAUAGUACCACUGCUGGAUAAUUGGAAAGUCCCUGUGUGUCAACCUCUGUGCUUCGUGGCAAGGUAGACUAGCAAACAUGCCCAACCUUUACUCACAUUCGAGAAAACACUC